rnacentral:rRNA from 1 species
AUGUAUUUAAUGUUUCGAAAUGUUGAUUAUGCAGGUGUUGAUGGAUGCUUCAUUAAGCUCACUACAGGUGCUCAACUCCUUGCUGCCACUGGUAGAGAUGGCAACAACAACAUAUAUCCACUGACAUUUGGCAUAGUUGGACAGGAGGACACACCUAGUUGGUGUUGGUUUCUACACCAACUGAAAAUUUGCCUAGGGGGAGAAGUGGGCAAGUUUGGACCUUAUACUAUAAUGUCAGAUAGACAAAAGGGCAUAUUUCCUUCAGGGGGAGGAGGAGCGCUCGCCGGUGCGCUACCGCGAGAACCCAAUGGCGUACGAGCCUCCAGUGAUGUGCCACUGCUCAACUCCGAGGAAGGCGCCAAGAUGGAUCUCUUGAAGCAGGUUGAACCCUGGUAG